rnacentral:rRNA from 1 species
UACGUAGGGUGCGAGCGUUGUCCGGAAUUAUUGGGCGUAAAGAGCUCGUAGGCGGUUUGUCGCGUCUGCCGUGAAAGUCCGGGGCUCAACUCCGGAUCUGCGGUGGGUACGGGCAGACUAGAGUGAUGUAGGGGAGACUGGAAUUCCUGGUGUAGCGGUGAAAUGCGCAGAUAUCAGGAGGAAUACCUAUGGCGAAAGCAGGUAUCUGGGCCAUCACUGACGCUGAGCUGCGAAAGCUAGGGGAGCAAACAGG